rfam:Spinacia oleracea cultivar SynViroflay scaffold77582.con0001.1, whole genome shotgun sequence.
GCCUCUUUAGCUCAGCUGGUAGAGCAACUGACUUGUAAUCAGUAGGUCA